rnacentral:rRNA from 1 species
UGGGGAAUAUUGCACAAUGGAGGAAACCCUGAUGCAGCAACGCCGCGUGAGUGAUGACGGCCUUCGGGUUGUAAAGCUCUGUCUUCAGGGACGAUAAUGACGGUACCUGAGGAGGAAGCCACGGCUAACUACGUGCCAGCAGCCGCGGUAAUACGUAGGUGGCAAGCGUUGUCCGGAUUUACUGGGCGUAAAGGGAGCGUAGGCGGACUUUUAAGUGAGAUGUGAAAUACCCGGGCUCAACCUGGGUGCUGCAUUUCAAACUGGAAGCCUAGAGUGCAGGAGAGGAGAGUGGAAUUCCUAGUGUAGCGGUGAAAUGCUUAGAGAUUAGGAAGAACACCAGUGGCGAAGGCGACUCUCUGGACUGUAACUGACGCUGAGGCUCGAAAGCGUGGGGAGCAAACA